rnacentral:rRNA from 1 species
GUGGGGAAUUUUGGACAAUGGGCGCAAGCCUGAUCCAGCAAUGCCGCGUGCAGGAAGAAGGCCUUCGGGUUGUAAACUGCUUUUGUACGGAACGAAACGGUCCUGGCUAAUAUCCGGGGCUAAUGACGGUACCGUAAGAAUAAGCACCGGCUAACUACGUGCCAGCAGCCGCGGUAAUACGUAGGGUGCGAGCGUUAAUCGGAAUUACUGGGCGUAAAGCGUGCGCAGGCGGUGCUGUAAGACAGGCGUGAAAUCCCCGGGCUCAACCUGGGAAUUGCGCUUGUGACUGCAGUGCUGGAGUGCGGCAGAGGGGGAUGGAAUUCCGCGUGUAGCAGUGAAAUGCGUAGAUAUGCGGAGGAACACCGAUGGCGAAGGCAAUCCCCUGGGCCUGUACUGACGCUCAUGCACGAAAGCGUGGGGAGCAAACAGGAUUAGAUACCCGAGUAGUCC